rnacentral:lncRNA from 1 species
UCAACGGACUUUGCCACCCUUCUUCCCAAUCCAAAGCCUCCUUUGCAUCCUCCUCUUGUAUCCCCCCACCUUAACCCACAAGUAUCGGAUACCUCUACUCCCUUCUUGGUGACAAUGAUGCACCCCUUACCAUCUCAUUAAAACCUAAUCACCCUUACCCCGCUCAAUGCCAAUAUCCCAUCCCACAGCAUGCUUUAAAAGGAUUAAAGCCUGUUAUCACUUGCCUCCUAGAGCAUGGGCUUCUAAAACCUAUAAACUCUCCUU